GUCGAGCGGAAGAAGGGAGCUUGCUCCCGGAUGUUAGCGGCGGACGGGUGAGUAACACGUGGGUAACCUGCCUGUAAGACUGGGAUAACUCCGGGAAACCGGAGCUAAUACCGGAUAGUUCCUUGAACCGCAUGGUUCAAGGAUGAAAGACGGUUUCGGCUGUCACUUACAGAUGGACCCGCGGCGCAUUAGCUAGUUGGUGAGGUAACGGCUCACCAAGGCGACGAUGCGUAGCCGACCUGAGAGGGUGAUCGGCCACACUGGGACUGAGACACGGCCCAGACUCCUACGGGAGGCAGCAGUAGGGAAUCUUCCGCAAUGGACGAAAGUCUGACGGAGCAACGCCGCGUGAGUGAUGAAGGUUUUCGGAUCGUAAAGCUCUGUUGUUAGGGAAGAACAAGUGCAAGAGUAACUGCUUGCACCUUGACGGUACCUAACCAGAAAGCCACGGCUAACUACGUGCCAGCAGCCGCGGUAAUACGUAGGUGGCAAGCGUUGUCCGGAAUUAUUGGGCGUAAAGGGCUCGCAGGCGGUUUCUUAAGUCUGAUGUGAAAGCCCCCGGCUCAACCGGGGAGGGUCAUUGGAAACUGGGAAACUUGAGUGCACAAGAGGAGAGUGGAAUUCCACGUGUAGCGGUGAAAUGCGUAGAGAUGUGGAGGAACACCAGUGGCGAAGGCGACUCUCUGGUCUGUAACUGACGCUGAGGAGCGAAAGCGUGGGAGCGAACAAGAUUAGAUACCCUGGUAGUCCACGCCGUAAACGAUGAGUGCUAGUGUUAGGGGGUUUCCGCCCCUUAAUGCUGCAACUAAGCAUAAGCACUCCGCCUGGGGGAGUACGGUCGCAAGACUGAA
rnacentral:rRNA from 1 species